AUUGAACGCUGGCGGCAGGCCUAACACAUGCAAGUCGAGCGGAUGAAGGGAGCUUGCUCCUGGAUUCAGCGGCGGACGGGUGAGUAAUGCCUAGGAAUCUGCCUGGUAGUGGGGGAUAACGUCCGGAAACGGGCGCUAAUACCGCAUACGUCCUGAGGGAGAAAGUGGGGGAUCUUCGGACCUCACGCUAUCAGAUGAGCCUAGGUCGGAUUAGCUAGUUGGUGGGGUAAAGGCCUACCAAGGCGACGAUCCGUAACUGGUCUGAGAGGAUGAUCAGUCACAAUGGAACUGAGACUCGGUCCAGACUCCUACGGGAGGCAGCAGUGGGGAAUAUUGGACAAUGGGCGAAAGCCUGAUCCAGCCAUGCCGCGUGUGUGAAGAAGGUCUUCGGAUUGUAAAGCACUUUAAGUUGGGAGGAAGGGCAGUAAGUUAAUACCUUGCUGUUUUGACGUUACCAACAGAAUAAGCACCGGCUAACUUCGUG
rnacentral:rRNA from 1 species